AUGCUGAUCAAGAACCACCUCCAAGUAGGUGCCACUGCCAUUCUACAGCAUGACCCAGAUUGGGAUCACAACUCUGAGGCAGGUGUCCUGGCUGAUCUGACACUUCAGGAGUCAGGACCUGGCCUGGUGAAGCCCUCGCAGACCCUGUCCCUCACCUGCACAGUCAGAGGGGCUUCCAUAGCUAGCUAUGCCUGGAGCUGGAUGCGGAAGCCUCCUGGAAAAGCUCUACAGUGGAUGGGGCACUGGGCAGGGACCACAAAGUAUGACCCUGCUUUCCAGGGCCGCAUCUCCAUCACUGUUGAUAGAGCCAAGAGCCAGUUCUCCCUGCAGCUGAACUCCGUGACCACAGAGGACACCGCUGUAUAUUACUGUGCAAGACGCACAGUGAGAGGACAUCAGCAUGAGCCCAGAAAUGAACCUCCCUGCAAGGUGCUCCAGACCAGCAGGGGGCAGCAAUGCCCACCAAGUUUAAAAUUCAACCUCGGGGACCAAUGCAGAGAGGGAGUGUAG